CACUCCACAGGCAGUAGGGAGGUGAGGGUUAGUUUCCCUAGACAGACAGACAUAUCCUCUAGCUAUCUCCUCUACUGAGCCAAACAUUCCCAGACAGUUAAGGAAGUUGUUAUAAGAAUCCUAAAAUUUCUUGAGUGUCUAUUAAACACCUAGUACAAGGAUUUCAUGUAAGGACUUAUUUACUCACAAUAAACCCCAAGAGAAGAGACACAGCAUUGCUCCCAUUUCACAGAUAGGAAAAUAGGAAUGGGGAUGGCAAAGAUGGCAGUCAUCUACAUGCUUUGCCUGCACUGGUGGCUCUUUUUCUGCUCCCUCUGCCGAGUUGUGAUGCAGCCAGAUGGCAGCACCAAGGUUGCUAGGCUUUCAAGGAUUGAAUCAGAACCAUGAGCCAAGUAAGUCUCCUUUGUUUGUCCUUUAUUUGGCACUGUGUGCUUUGUUGGAGCCCACACAACUCACCAAGACACUGUUCCAAUGCGAGUCUGCCAAAGUAGGGAAGCCCCACACGUCUGGAAUCCACACUCCGACCUGGGAGGAUACUGGAGAAACGAGCAGGAUUCAGAGGCCUUCAGAGGAGGAGGGGGAGACCACAGCAGAUACAGAGCACACGUGUCCCUGUCUCCUCCCUGGGCUCUGUGCCCACCAGAGCUUAGCUGCUUCUCCCCGUUGGCAAGGACAGUUGAAUCAAAGACAGAAGAUGGAGAAACAGAAAAACUCUCUACCCAAAGCAAGACAUGUUUGUUCAUAAAGGUGUCCCUCUCCUGUCCACCAAGAAGGGCAGAAUUCAUCUCUGGAGGCGACUAUGGACCGUCCUCAAUGUGGACAGUGGUGGAAGCUCACAUAACUCCUUCUGGUACUUUCUGACUAGUCAUCUUAAAGCCCUUUAAGAUGCCUUACUCAGGCUUUGUUGCAUAGAUAGGCCUGCAGGCCCAGGGAUUUGAAGAGGCUGAGGAAGGAAGAUCACAAAUUUAAGGGCAGCUCAAGCUCCAGAGCCAGUUCAAGGCCAGACAAGAGUACAUGAGGACCUGGGCACACACCUCAGCAUCCAUUCACAGAAUCCUGUACAGUAGUACACACUUGUGAUCCCAGCACUGAGGUGAGACCAUGGAGGUACCUGGGUUUGCCCAUCUAGCUUAGCCUAACCAGGUGAGCCCCAGGCCAGGAGGAGACUCCAUCUCAAACAACUGUGGGCAGCAUGGAAGGAGGAGCCAAGCCCGAGUUUGUUCUAUUUCCAUGCAAAUAUACACAUCGCCUAUCAGCCUUGGUCAUGCCAUUUUGAAGUCUCUCCCUUUGGGUUAAGUGAUGGCAAUUUCCACCACAGAAGUCAGCACUGCAGACUUGGUUUCCUGGAUCCUGCCCUGCCCCUGCAUCCCUCUGAUGAUGGCUGAUCAGGAGGGAUGCUUAUCCAUCACCGGAUGUUUGCUCAUUUGCUGCUCACUGUUCUUUGGUCACUCCUGCCAGUGGCCAAUCUGGAACUGGAAAGGACUAAUAACAGCCUCCUUCCCAGCCUCUCCACCUUCUGCCCUGUAAUUACUUUAGCUUGUAAGCAGACGUCAGACCCUGAUUCUUAUACCGAUGCACUCUGUCUUCUCCCAGAUUAAAAGCCUGCAUUGUAUUAAGUCGUUGGUUUCCGUGUCUGUCUCUCACCACAGAUAAACAUGCACAAAACAAAGAAGCAAAAGCGAUCAAGCAAAACCUCAAGGUUUACCCCCACUUCCUCCAGCGAGGCUCUGCCUCCUAAAGGUUCUGCAUCUUAUCGAAACAGCACGCCAUCUGGGAACCAAAUGUUCAAACACACGAACCUGUCGGGGCAUUUUGCACUCCAACCACACAUCCCCAGAUCCAGGGCCAUGCUUCUUUGCCAUCCGAGUUCACAGCUACAUUCCAUAUUUCUAGUCCUCUAUAGCAAACAGACCUUUACAGAGUAUGUGUUGCCUGGUUUUGUGUUAACGUGACACAAGCUACAGUCAUCAGAGAGAACAGAGACUCAAUUGAGAAAAUGCCUCAAGAUUGGGCUAUAGGCAAGCUUGUAGAACAUUUUCUUAAUUAGUGAUUGAUGGAGGAGGGCCCAGCCCAUUGUGGGUGGGGACAUUCCUGGGCAGGUGGUCCUGGGUUCUAUAAGAAAGCAGGUUGAGCAAGCCAUGGGGAGGAGGCAGUAAGCAGCACCCUCCUUGGCCUCUGUGUCAGCUGCUGCCUCUGGGUCCCUGCCCUGCUUGAGCUGUUGCUUUUGAUGAUGAAUUUUAGAUGGAACUGUGAGUGAAGUAAACCCUUUCCUCCCCAAAUUGCCUUUGGUCGUGAUGUUUCAUCACAGAAAUAGUCACCCUAACUAAGACUGAGGGUCUCAUUGUAAAAGAGUUGGCACGACCAAGAAACCUCGUUUUUUAAAAUAUACUUAAUUUCUCUAUCUCUGUCUCUCUGUCUCUUUCACGGUCUUUCUCUGUCUGUUUGUUUCUGUCUCUCUCUGUCUCUGUUUCUGUCUGUCUGUCUCUGUCUCUGUCUCUGUCUGUCUGUCUGUUUCUGUCUCUCUCUGUCUCUGUCUGUUUCUGUCUCUCCGUCUCUGUCUGUUUCUGUCUCCCUGUCUGUUUGUUGGUCUCUGUUUCUCUGUCCUCCCCCUCCCCUGUAGAUAUGUGCAUACCACACCACAUGUGUGGAUGUCAGAGAACAACUCUUGGAAGCCAGUUCUCUCCUUCUACUCUAGGCCUGAUGCUUACUUUGUGAGAUAUUAAAGUGGCUGCAGUAAAUGACCCAAUGCCUCUUAGCUUGUCUUUCAACCAAGAUACUGACUCCCGUUAUUGGUGAGAGUUUCCACAUAAGUUUUUGUUUU